rnacentral:lncRNA from 1 species
ACAGGUGUGCGACGUAUUCAUGAGUGUAAUGCAUUUGUUAGCCCACCCACCCAAAAUCUCCACCAGCCGUCACUGACUAUGCCCACACCCAUGACAUGAAGACAUGGGAGGAUCUGAUGAGCCAGAGGAAGUUGGCGUUUGAAGUUGAUCAUUUCACAGACAACACUUUGUUGGCGUUCAUUUCCAGACAAACUUGAGGGCUGACGAGCACUAGUGUUUGAUACUGCCUCUGGAAACACAGGGGCCAGGAUGACAUUUUCAGCUGCGGGACAAGGAGCCAGGGUCCUGCUUUUUGUUUUGUUUUUUUCUUUUUAACGUAGAAGACAAAUCCUGCAUUCUUAUUCUCGCAUUUCCCCAGUGAAGAAAGGGCAGUCUGCUUAUCUGGCAAGAAGAGGAGAAUCCAGCCGCUUCAGGCUGAAAGGAGGUAAGAGGUACGGUAUUGGAAAAUAGGGGUGGGAGGUUACAGUUUGAUAAAGACCUGAGAAGUGCACCAUGACAAGAAUAAUAAGUCGUUCCUGUCAUUGAUUCCUUUGUAUGUAUAUUUAUUAUUUGGUUAAGGAUUCCCACAUCCUGCAAAGGGCACACUGAAGAUGUAAAAAGAAUCAUGAUUUUGCACCAAACACUUGUAGUUGCUUCGACUUGAAAUUUUCCAACUGAAUCUUUCCCGCUGUUACAAACUAGGAUCAUGGAUCAGUCAACAGUCGGUACAAACAUGUAUCAUAAAAAAACAUUGGGCCUUGUAGUUUUUGUGCUUUAAUAAAAGCUCUAAAAUGCAAAUUGAACAAAACACCAAAUAAUCUAUUCUGAUGUGAAUCAGAGGACUUGUUUGUGUUACAGAGUUGGCCUUGCUUUAAAAAAAAAAAAAAAGUACUGAAACUGCUUUUUUAAUUCAGACCUGGACUCAAAAUAGUUAGAGAAGAAAGGUCUGGCAAAGCAGAUCCCAAGUCAGCAUUUCAGGGCUAUUAAGCCUGCCAAGGAAAGCUCAUACAUAAUAAAACUUUAAACUUAGAGGUGUUGACAAGUGCUAAAGUAGUCGACCGUCUCCAUGCUGA